rnacentral:rRNA from 1 species
UACGUAGGGUGCAAGCGUUAAUCGGAAUUACUGGGCGUAAAGCGUGCGCAGGCGGUUAUGUAAGACAGAUGUGAAAUGCCCGGGCUUAACCUGGGAACUGCAUUUGUGACUGCAUGGCUAGAGUUUGGCAGAGGGGGGUAGAAUUCCACGUGUAGCAGUGAGAUGCGUAGAUAUGUGGAGGAACACCGGUGGCGAAGGCGGGUCUCUGGGCAUCUCCUGACGCUGAGGCGCGAAGGCCAGGGGAGCAAACGGG